GGGUUGUGAGGUUAAGCGACUAAGCGUACACGGUGGAUGCCCUGGCAGUCAGAGGCGAUGAAGGACGUGCUAAUCUGCGAUAAGCGUCGGUGAGGUGAUAUGAACCGUUAUAACCGGCGAUUUCCGAAUGGGGAAACCCAGUGUGUUUCGACACACUAUCAUUAACUGAAUCCAUAGGUUAAUGAGGCGAACCGGGGGAACUGAAACAUCUAAGUACCCCGAGGAAAAGAAAUCAACCGAGAUUCCCCCAGUAGCGGCGAGCGAACGGGGAGGAGCCCAGAGCCUGAAUCAGUGUGUGUGUUAGUGGAAGCGUCUGGAAAGGCGCGCGAUACAGGGUGACAGCCCCGUACACAAAAUGCACAUGCUGUGAGCUCGAUGAGUAGGGCGGGACACGUGGUAUCCUGUCUGAAUAUGGGGGACCAUCCUCCAAGGCUAAAUACUCCUGACUGACCGAUAGUGAACCAGUACCGUGAGGGAAAGGCGAAAAGAACCCCGGCGAGGGGAGUGAAAAGAACCUGAAACCGUGUACGUACAAGCAGUGGGAGCCUCUUAAUGGGGUGACUGCGUACCUUUUGUAUAAUGGGUCAGCGACUUAUAUUCUGUAGCAAGGUUAACCGAAUAGGGGAGCCGAAGGGAAACCGAGUCUUAACUGGGCGCUAAGUUGCAGGGUAUAGACCCGAAACCCGGUGAUCUAGCCAUGGGCAGGUUGAAGGUUGGGUAACACUAACUGGAGGACCGAACCGACUAAUGUUGAAAAAUUAGCGGAUGACUUGUGGCUGGGGGUGAAAGGCCAAUCAAACCGGGAGAUAGCUGGUUCUCCCCGAAAGCUAUUUAGGUAGCGCCUCGUGAAUUCAUCUCCGGGGGUAGAGCACUGUUUCGGCAAGGGGGUCAUCCCGACUUACCAACCCGAUGCAAACUGCGAAUACCGGAGAAUGUUAUCACGGGAGACACACGGCGGGUGCUAACGUCCGUCGUGAAGAGGGAAACAACCCAGACCGCCAGCUAAGGUCCCAAAGUCAUGGUUAAGUGGGAAACGAUGUGGGAAGGCCCAGACAGCCAGGAUGUUGGCUUAGAAGCAGCCAUCAUUUAAAGAAAGCGUAAUAGCUCACUGGUCGAGUCGGCCUGCGCGGAAGAUGUAACGGGGCUAAACCAUGCACCGAAGCUGCGGCAGCGACACUAUGUGUUGUUGGGUAGGGGAGCGUUCUGUAAGCCUGUGAAGGUGGCCUGUGAGGGUUGCUGGAGGUAUCAGAAGUGCGAAUGCUGACAUAAGUAACGAUAAAGCGGGUGAAAAGCCCGCUCGCCGGAAGACCAAGGGUUCCUGUCCAACGUUAAUCGGGGCAGGGUGAGUCGACCCCUAAGGCGAGGCCGAAAGGCGUAGUCGAUGGGAAACAGGUUAAUAUUCCUGUACUUGGUGUUACUGCGAAGGGGGACGGAGAAGGCUAUGUUGGCCGGGCGACGGUUGUCCCGGUUUAAGCGUGUAGGCUGGUUUUCCAGGCAAAUCCGGAAAACCAAGGCUGAGGCGUGAUGACGAGGCACUACGGUGCUGAAGCGACAAAUGCCCUGCUUCCAGGAAAAGCCUCUAAGCAUCAGGUAACAUCAAAUCGUACCCCAAACCGACACAGGUGGUCAGGUAGAGAAUACCAAGGCGCUUGAGAGAACUCGGGUGAAGGAACUAGGCAAAUGGUGCCGUAACUUCGGGAGAAGGCACGCUGAUAUGUAGGUGAAGCGACUUGCUCGUGGAGCUGAAAUCAGUCGAAGAUACCAGCUGGCUGCAACUGUUUAUUAAAAACACAGCACUGUGCAAACACGAAAGUGGACGUAUACGGUGUGACGCCUGCCCGGUGCCGGAAGGUUAAUUGAUGGGGUUAGCGGUAACGCGAAGCUCUUGAUCGAAGCCCCGGUAAACGGCGGCCGUAACUAUAACGGUCCUAAGGUAGCGAAAUUCCUUGUCGGGUAAGUUCCGACCUGCACGAAUGGCGUAAUGAUGGCCAGGCUGUCUCCACCCGAGACUCAGUGAAAUUGAACUCGCUGUGAAGAUGCAGUGUACCCGCGGCAAGACGGAAAGACCCCGUGAACCUUUACUAUAGCUUGACACUGAACAUUGAGCCUUGAUGUGUAGGAUAGGUGGGAGGCUUUGAAGUGUGGACGCCAGUCUGCAUGGAGCCGACCUUGAAAUACCACCCUUUAAUGUUUGAUGUUCUAACGUUGGCCCGUAAUCCGGGUUGCGGACAGUGUCUGGUGGGUAGUUUGACUGGGGCGGUCUCCUCCUAAAGAGUAACGGAGGAGCACGAAGGUUGGCUAAUCCUGGUCGGACAUCAGGAGGUUAGUGCAAUGGCAUAAGCCAGCUUGACUGCGAGCGUGACGGCGCGAGCAGGUGCGAAAGCAGGUCAUAGUGAUCCGGUGGUUCUGAAUGGAAGGGCCAUCGCUCAACGGAUAAAAGGUACUCCGGGGAUAACAGGCUGAUACCGCCCAAGAGUUCAUAUCGACGGCGGUGUUUGGCACCUCGAUGUCGGCUCAUCACAUCCUGGGGCUGAAGUAGGUCCCAAGGGUAUGGCUGUUCGCCAUUUAAAGUGGUACGCGAGCUGGGUUUAGAACGUCGUGAGACAGUUCGGUCCCUAUCUGCCGUGGGCGCUGGAGAACUGAGGGGGGCUGCUCCUAGUACGAGAGGACCGGAGUGGACGCAUCACUGGUGUUCGGGUUGUCAUGCCAAUGGCACUGCCCGGUAGCUAAAUGCGGAAGAGAUAAGUGCUGAAAGCAUCUAAGCACGAAACUUGCCCCGAGAUGAGUUCUCCCUGAGACUUAGAGUCUCCUGAAGGAACGUUGAAGACGACGACGUUGAUAGGCCGGGUGUGUAAGCGCAGCGAUGCGUUGAGCUAACCGGUACUAAUGAACCGUGAGGCUUAACCUUACAACGCCGAAG
rnacentral:rRNA from 1 species